rnacentral:rRNA from 1 species
GCGAAAAGAACCCCGGGAGGGGAGUGAAAUAGAUCCUGAAACCGCAUGCAUACAAAAAGUCGGAGCCUCGCAAGGGGUGACGGCGUACCUUUUGUAUAAUGGGUCAGCGACUUACAUUCAGUGGCAAGCUUAACCGAAUAGGGGAAGGCGCAGGGAAACCGAGUCCGAACAGGGCGUUCAGUCGCUGGGUGUAGACCCGAAACCAAGUGAUCUAUCCAUGGCCAGGAUGAAGGUGCCGUAACAGGUACUGGAGGUCCGAACCGACUAGUGUUGCAAAACUAGCGGAUGAGCUGUGGAUAGGGGUGAAAGGCUAAACAAAACUUGGAGAUAGCUGGUUCUCUCCGAAAGCUAUUUAGGUAGCGCCUCAAGUAUUACCGUCGGGGUAGAGCACUGUUAUGGCUAGGGGGUCAAUGGCGACUUACCAAACCAAUUGCAAACUCCGAAUAACCGAUGAGUACAGCUUGGGAGACAGUGCACCGGGUGCUAACGUCCGGACACAAGAAGGGG